rnacentral:rRNA from 1 species
GACGAACGCUGGCGGCGUGCUUAACACACGCAAGUCGAGCGGAAAGGCCCUUUCGGGGGUACUCGAGCGGCGAACGGGUGAGUAACACGUGAGUAAUCUGCCCUGGACUCUGGGAUAGCCACCGGAAACGGUGAUUAAUACCGGAUAUGACACCUUGCUGCAUGGUGGGGUGUGGAAAGUUUUUUCGGUCCAGGAUGUGCUCGCGGCCUAUCAGCUUGUUGGUGAGGUAAUGGCUCACCAAGGCUUUGACGGGUAGCCGGCCUGAGAGGGUGACCGGUCACACUGGGACUGGGACACGGCCCAGACUCCUACGGGAGGCAGCAGUGGGGAAUAUUGGACAAUGGGCGGAAGCCUGAUCCAGCAACGCCGCGUGAGGGAUGACGGCCUUCGGGUUGUAAACCUCUUUCAGUACCGACGAAGCGUGAGUGACGGUAGGUACAGAAGAAGGACCGGCCAACUACGUGCCAGCCGCCGCGGUAACAC